AUUGAACGCUGGCGGCAUGCCUUACACAUGCAAGUCGAACGGCAGCUGGGGGGAAGCUUGCUUUUCCUGCCGGCGAGUGGCGAACGGGUGAGUAAUACAUCGGAACGUGCCCUGUAGUGGGGGAUAACUAGUCGAAAGAUUAGCUAAUACCGCAUACGACCUGAGGGUGAAAGUGGGGGACCGCAAGGCCUCAUGCUAUAGGAGCGGCCGAUGUCUGAUUAGCUAGUUGGUGGGGUAAAGGCCUACCAAGGCGACGAUCAGUAGCUGGUCUGAGAGGACGAUCAGCCACACUGGGACUGAGACACGGCCCAGACUCCUACGGGAGGCAGCAGUGGGGAAUUUUGGACAAUGGGCGAAAGCCUGAUCCAGCAAUGCCGCGUGUGUGAAGAAGGCCUUCGGGUUGUAAAGCACUUUUGUCCGGAAAGAAAUGGCUCUGGUUAAUACCUGGGGUCGAUGACGGUACCGGAAGAAUAAGGACCGGCUAACUACGUGCCAGCCGCCGCCGUAAUAC
rnacentral:rRNA from 1 species